rnacentral:rRNA from 1 species
CGUCUAUAUACGUAUAGCAUAUCAAUAAGCGGAGGAAAAGAAACUAACUAGGAUUCCCUUAGUAACGGCGAGUGAAGCGGGAAGAGCUCAAAUUUGAAAUCUUCAAGGUUCUACCUUGACGAAUUGUAGUUUAAAGAAGUGUUUUCUGUUAGAUGAGUAGCUAAAAGUUCCUUGGAAUAGGGACAUCAUAGAGGGUGAGAAUCCCGUAUUUGGUUAUUCAUUCUAGCGUUGUGAUACACUUUCAAAGAGUCGGAUUGUUUGGGAAUGCAGUCCAAAAUGGGUGGUAAAUUUCAUCUAAAGCUAAAUAUUGGCGAGAGACCGAUAGCGAACAAGUACCGUGAGGGAAAGAUGAAAAGAACUUUGAAAAGAGAGUUAAACAGUACGUGAAAUUGUCAAAAGGGAAGCGUUUGACACCAGUGUUGUUUUUCCGAAAAUCAAUUACGAAUGUUUUAUUUUUGAGGAGUUAUGACUUCAUCGGCUUGCUCCUUUCUUUACGAAACUUUCUUAAUGCACUUUUCGGUUAACAAGUCAACAUCAAUUUCUUUUGUUGUAAAAGGGUAUGAGGAAGGUGGCUUUCUUUUCGGAGAAAGUGUUUAUAGCCUUGUGCCUCUGCAAUCGGAGAGAUUGAGGUCUGCAGCGUAGAUCCUUCGGGGUUAGAUACAUUUGUGCUAAGUUAUAGCUUUUUCAUAGACAACUUGUUGACUAUGAUUUAGUCUUGUAGCUUACUCGCUUACUGCUAUUUUACCUACGCUUAGGAUGUUGACUGAUAUGUAGUCGUA